GGGGCCAGGGGCGCUGGCGAGGGAGGGGCGUCGGGGGCCGAGGCCUGGGGUUGGUGCUCGCCGCUGGCCCCCGCGCGCGGGGAGGAGGCUGGCGGUCCCGUAGCGCAGAGGAUGCCCCUCGGUGCGCGAUGCUGGCCUCGCGGAGCCCGGGCCCCUGCCCCCGCCGGGUGCCGGGAGCCAGCAGGGAAGCCGAGCGUAAGACAGAAAUCACAAACAUAAAAAGCAAACUUCUGCUGUUUCCUUUAAGAGCCAGUCGCUAGCGUGUCUUCCCUCCACUCCCGGUGGCGACAUAGAGACCCACCCCCGGUGGAGGAAAUAGAGACCCACCGCGCCCGGGAGGCGCCUCUGCCGCGGACCUGGGCCCGGGAGGACGGUUCACCGGGCCUGGGCUCCCGCUCCGCCGAGCAGCGGCUGGUGAACUUGGCCCGGCUGGUUGGCCCACCUCUCUGGUGGUCAGUAGCCCCCCCGCCCCCCGCGGCUACCUGCAGAUUGUGAGGAUCACAAUGACCCCUGGGGGUAGUUGGGGGGAUGAAAUGGGAUCCUUCAAAUGGUAGGUCUAGCGCAGUGCCUGCCCUGGCAUCUGGUUAAUUCGAGAUUGAUGGUCACUGUUGUAGAUAUUGUUCUACACUGACCCUGGAGACAGUGGAUUUUCAGAAAGAUGAUUAUCAUACUACCUUAAGAACAGCAGAAUGUGGCUGGAGGAAAUCAGCAGAGGAGGCAGAGGAGGAAAGAAAGAAAAUAAAGGUUAUCUGCAAACACACACACAGUUUCAUUUGUUGCUCAACUUUGUCAGGGCUUCUGCUGGUGACACAGAUGUAGGAUCUGGAAGUGAGAGUGCACUGAUGGGGUUGUGGCCUUGAUGGGGAGACCUCCUGGUAGCCUGACUUGAUUGUGCCUUAGCUCUGGCACCAGAGGCAGCGUGGAGCUGUAGCGUCUGACAGGUCCCCGAGGCAAGUUAGUGUACUGCGGUGGGCCUCAGGCUCCUCAGCCAGGACACAAGGGCCCCAACGCCUGCCCGGAAGCUGGGGUCCCUACCCCAGCACCUUAUUCACGGGAGGCAUUUAAUAAACACAAAUUAUUUCUUCUGCCA
rnacentral:lncRNA from 12 species